AUAAUUUGGAUAUUUUAUUUAUUUAAUAUUAUUUUAUUUUUUAUGAAAGCAAAAUCUGCAGAUAGAGUCACACCUGAAUACCAUGAUUUCUCCACCACUAAAGGCCCGACAGAAGAGCAACAAAUCACACCAGAGAACUAUGAUGAUGUAAUCACUGUAGGACUGAGACAUCAUGCUACAGAUGACUUACCAGAAAACUAUGAUGAUGUCGUCAUCAUACGACAGUUCUCCAAUGAUAAAGCAGGGGGUGUUCAGGAGGAGUAUGAUGAUGUGAAGAAUAUCAGAGAAUAUAUGAGUGACAUGUUUG
rnacentral:lncRNA from 1 species